rnacentral:rRNA from 1 species
UACGUAGGGUCCAAGCGUUGUCCGGAUUUAUUGGGCGUAAAGGGCUCGUAGGCGGCCAACUAAGUCAGACGUGAAAUCCCUCGGCUUAACCGGGGAACUGCGUCUGAUACUGAGUGGCUUGAGAUUGGGAGAGGGAUGCGGAAUUCCAGGUGUAGCGGUGAAAUGCGUAGAUAUCCGGAGGAACACCGGUGGCGAAGGCGGCUCCUGGACCGACACUGACGCUGAGGCGCGAAAGCUAGGGGAGCAAACGGG